UACGAAGGGGGCUAGCGUUGUUCGGAAUUACUGGGCGUAAAGCGCGCGCAGGCGGUCUUCCAAGUCAGUGGUGAAAGCCCCGGAGCUCAACUCCGGAAUUGCCAUUGAAACUGUUGGACUUGAGGAUGAGAGAGGUGAGUGGAAUUCCCAGUGUAGAGGUGAAAUUCGUAGAUAUUAGGAAGAACACCAGUGGCGAAGGCGGCUCACUGGUCCGGUACUGACGCUGAGGCGCGAAAGCGUGGGGAGCAAACAGG
rnacentral:rRNA from 1 species